rnacentral:lncRNA from 1 species
AAACAUGCAUUUAAGGUAGAUAGGGUGUCUUCCUCCAUCUUGGAUUUUGAAAUACUAGAAAACAAGGUCUAGAUCUUUGAUGAAAUGUGCAAAUUUUUAUAGUAGUAGGUAAUUAAUGUGUAAGAAUUUUCAUUAUAAUAUAGAAAAUGCCAUGUUUGAUCAUAUUUAAUAAUAUGAUUGUAUUUUACAAAAAUAAGAAUUCUUUUGUUUGAUUCAUUUUUUCCAACUUUGUCAAAUAAGGGGAGGCAACUCAAAUGCAAGGGCAGAUAAUCCAGAUAGUGUUACUUUUACAAUAGAAUGUGUUAGGAAUUUACCCAUUUUUACAUGUAGCAAGAAAACGAGUCCGGUGACCCAAUUUUUUCUUUUUCUUAUCUGAAAGCAUAAUAUUGAAGCUAUCUUCUCAUAUUUUAUCUCAAAAUUCUAUGGUGUGGUUUGCGUUUUAUGGCGGAAAAAUG